UUCUCUCAUCAAAUUGCUGACUGACGCCACAUAAAGGGACUGAUCCCUCCCUCCACCCCUCCCACAUGUUCAAAACACUAAUUGCACCAUACCUCAUGGGCCCAUCACCGUACUAGGCCAUUGGGGGUAUUGGCCAAAUUGAGCAAUGUUAUAUUCUCUUAUCAGGGGUGUUGGCCAAAUUGAGCAAUGUUAUAUUCCUUCACCGGGUUUGAAAUAGAUCACGGAUGAAUAACUAUAAGUCUAUAACCACAGGUUGUCGAACCUAGAUCUGAUUCGGCCUGAUCUUUAGCCACCCCUAUUGAGCAAUGUUAUAUUCCUUCACCAGGUUUGAGAUAGAUCACAGAUGAAUAACUAUAACUCUAUAACCACAGGUUGUCAAACCUAGAUCUGAUGCGGCCUGAUCUCUAGCCACCCGUGCAUGUAUAUCUAUAUAUGUAUGCAUGCAUGUAUGUAUGUACAAGUAAUAUCUCCUUCAUUGAUAAAGUCAACCCAUAUCAGUGGGAUGAGGCUUGCUAGUACCAAAAAUAGGUAAACAAGAGCCGACAUAAUCAAAGAUAAAAGAAAGCUAAAAAGAACAUACCAACGCAUCAAGAUUUCAUGGAUAUAAGAUAGAAUUCCCAGGUUUCCCAAAAGUGAAAUUCUUAAUUUAAGGGAAAAAAAGCAAAGUUAAGGGCCCAUUUGUCAAUGCUUUUGUUUUCUGUUUUCUGAUUUUUGGAAAACAGAAAAGCAAAAGGGACAACCUAACAAAUGGUUGGUGAAUCUUUUUGUUGUUCCAUAAAUCUAUGAGUAAAAACAUCUAACCAACUUUUUCAUCUUAUUUCUAUUUGUAGAGCUAUCACAACCCUUCACAACCUCCGCCAUAGCCAAAACGAUAGAAACAAAAUCAAAUAAUUACAAAAAAUACAGUAAUCAAGAUUACAUCAAAAAAUCCAUUAGCUUUAGCAAAUAGUCAAUAGGAAGAUGAAGUAUUUAUAUAUAAACCAUUCAUAUGCAUAGUCAUUUCUAUAACCAUAUAAUGAAACCAGCCACUUCAUUCUAAGUUCAGAUUUUGAUGUUUUCCACUUAUAAAUCUGCUUUUCCAUUUUGUGAAACCAGCUACUUAUAAAUCUGCUUUUCCACUUUGUGAAACAAGCACUUUUCUUCAUGUACUACUAUACUAACACUGGCAAGCAAUUUAACAAGAUUUUUCCAGCAAAUAUAUAGAAACUUUACCAUAUUUUACAUUGAAUGCAACAACUUUGCUAAAUCAUAUACUAGAAUUAAUCCGGGCCAACUACUUGCAUACAAUUAUUGAGUCCAACUUCACCUAGAUCGUUAUCAACAAUAUGGUGUAGCACACACUUGCUUUCAAUAGUUGAUUGCACAGUCAUAAACAAAUUAACUAACAGAAACACAUGGCAUGCAAGAUACAAGAGAACAGUAAUUUUGAAGUUCCAGGAUCCACUUGCCUUCUUACCAAAUAAUAGUGCAACCAGUGAAAUCAGACGCUCUUCCAACUCCUCUUGGUAGCCCUUUUUCUUGUUUUGCUUGCUCAGAGGAAUAUAAAUAUUAUAUAAAAUUACAACAAAGAUGCAUGAAUGAACAAUGUAUGCAAACAACGGAUACAAAAUAUAAUAUGCAGAAAGAAGAAAGGCUUGAUAAAUUUAAAAAGCACUAUGAAUGCAUCCCUGAUUAAGUUGAACACAAACAUCAGAACAAGGGGCACAGUCAAAAAAAGGCAAUAUGAAAACAGCCCUCGAGAUCAUCCCGCUAAAAGGAAAUAAAAUACUCACAUGGAACAUAAAUUUUAAAUAUUAACAUACACAUGGCAUUUGUAUGAAAGGGAUAGAAGUCAUAUCAUUUUUCCAAACAAACAAAACCACACACCUCUAAAUGCAAACAAUGCUACAAUCUGUCCAUUCAAUGCUGAACAGAUUAAUUCAAUUAAAACAUCUCAGCAUAUAUUUAAACCACUCUAAAUCAUUACAAAAACUGCUAAUUUGUAUGCAUUACCUCUCAGCAAAAUAAUGACCUCGAGGGUUACCAAUGUAUUUAGUAAUUGGUAACCUCCUGAAUUUAAACAAUUAUUCUCAUCAUGAGAAACAUCAGUGUUAGAGACUAACUUUUCAAAUCCAUGGCCAUGCUGAUCUUUAAUUUUGUUGCUUUUCUACAAUCUGAAGCCUUUCCACAUAUCAUACUCUCAUAUGGUCUGUGGUUAAUUAUAUGUUCCUUUGGGCAUUGCAGCUGCAAUACAAGACAUGAUGUCUUACCGUCAUUAUUCUCUUCUCCAUCUUCAUUUUUAUCUCGUUAAUGCAACUGCUUUCCUAUGAUAGUUAAAUAGAUCUGUUCUGAAAAAAGACACAUUUUAAAUCUACAUUUUGAUAACCCCAUUAUCCUUCUAACAAAACUUACUUUCAAAGACAUUAAGUUUCAUAAACAAGAGAGAUACUAAUACAAUAAUGUCCUCC
rnacentral:lncRNA from 1 species